GUUACUAUUUCUGAAGCAUUGUGUUGACUGACGACUAAAAAGUCAAGAGAUGACCUGGCUCAUCAGUGGUUUGAGAAUGAUGUCCUUGCUGAGGCUUUCAAAGAAAUUAAGGAUCGAGAAUUUGAGACGCAUCCCUUUGGGGCUAUAUUGCACUGAUUCAUCGUGUCUCCUUAGGCUCCUCUGCACUUUUCUUUCCUCCAGGGGCGAGCUCAGAGGAAGGGGCCUGAGAUCCUCCCAGGGAGUGGCUGGAAACGCAGAGGCCUGUCCUGAAACCCCAUCCCAGGGACACCGAGCACCUCCUGUAUCAACCUGGCAGUGUUUGUGUAGUUUCUCCACUUAAAGGUCCUCCCCCCACUGCCUACUUUCCACAAUGUCCUCUUUUGAAGGAAGUCUCUCUGCAGAGCCCAUACCUGGUAAGAUGCUGUGAAAAAGAAGAGAAAACUGUAAAAGCAAAGAAAGUGUGAGACAUCAGAACUUGGACGUUUAAGGGAGGAGUCUACUUGGAGCUCCUCUUAUGAAAAUAAUUUAACACAAAUGGAA